CUUUUAGCUUAUUUAUAUUACUGUUCAUUACUAUUUAUAGUACUGUAGUUGUACUGUAGUUAAUUACGAUAGCAUAUGCACUGUGCAGUACUGUAACAAAAAUACUAUGCAGUACUGUUGCGCACUGUAGCAUGUUAUUGUAGCACAACGGUAAAUAACCAAAAUGCUACCAAGGCUGUGAAGUGAACAAUGAAUCAGUCUCUUAAGGAUAAACAACCC
rnacentral:lncRNA from 1 species